GAUGAACGCUAGCUACAGGCUUAACACAUGCAAGUCGAGGGGCAGCACGGAGAUAGCUUGCUAUCUUGGGUGGCGACCGGCGCACGGGUGAGUAACGCGUAUCCAACCUGCCCAUUACUCUGGGAUAGCCUUGCGAAAGUAAGAUUAAUACCGGAUGUUGUUAAAAACCCGCAUGAGUUUUUAACCAAAGAUUUAUUGGUAAUGGAUGGGGAUGCGUGACAUUAGGUAGUUGGUGAGGUAACGGCUCACCAAGCCUACGAUGUCUAGGGGUUCUGAGAGGAAGGUCCCCCACACUGGAACUGAGACACGGUCCAGACUCCUACGGGAGGCAGCAGUGAGGAAUAUUGGUCAAUGGACGAGAGUCUGAACCAGCCAAGUAGCGUGCAGGACGACGGCCCUCUGGGUUGUAAACUGCUUUUAGUUGGGAAUAAAAAGAGGGACGUGUCCCUAAUUGUAUGUACCAUCAGGAAAAGGACCGGCUAAUUCCGUGCCAGCAGCCGCGGUAACAC
rnacentral:rRNA from 1 species